CAGUCGCCACGGUAAUACAGAGGGUGCAAGCGUUAAUCGGAAUUACUGGGCGUAAAGCGCGCGUAGGUGGUUUGUUAAGUUGGAUGUGAAAUCCCCGGGCUCAACCUGGGAACUGCAUCCAAAACUGGCAAGCUAGAGUAUGGUAGAGGGUGGUGGAAUUUCCUGUGUAGCGGUGAAAUGCGUAGAUAUAGGAAGGAACACCAGUGGCGAAGGCGACCACCUGGACUGAUACUGACACUGAGGUGCGAAAGCGUGGGGAGCAAACAGGAUUAGAUACCCCUGUAGUCCCUGUCUCUUAUAA
rnacentral:rRNA from 1 species